rnacentral:rRNA from 1 species
GACGAACGCUGGCGGCGUGCUUAACACAUGCAAGUCGAACGGACAGGCCCUGCUUUUGUGGGUUGCUCGAUUGGCGAACGGGUGAGUAACACGUGAGUAACCCGCCCUUGACAUUGUGAUAACUCCAGGGAACUCGGGCUAAAACCGGGUAGAAGCUCCUGCUGCAUGUGGGGGGUUGGAAAAAUUCGGCGGUUGGGGAUGGAAUCGCGGGUUAUGAGCUUGUUGGUGUGGUAGUGGCUUACCAAGGCUUUGAAGGAUAGCCGGCCUGGGAGGGUGACCGGCGACAUUGGGACUGCGGUAGGGAGCAGACUCGUACGGGAGGCAGCAGUGGGGAAUAUUGCACAAUGGGCGGAAGCGAGAGGCAGAAACGCCGCGUGCGGAAUGAUGGCUUUCGGGUUGUGAACAGAUUUGGCCUGUGACAAAGCGUGAGUGACGGUAAUGAGUAAAGAAGCACCGGCUAACUACGUG